rnacentral:rRNA from 1 species
UCAGUUCGGCUGGGCGACUCUAUGGAGACUGCCACCUAAAGUGGAGGAAGGUGGGGAGUGACGUCAAGUCAGCAUGGCCCUUACUCCGGGGCUACACACGUGCUACAAUGGCCGGUACAAAGGGUUGCGAAGCCGUGAGGUGGAGCGAAUCUCAAAAAGCCGGCCUCAGUUCGGAUUGGAGGCUGCAACUCGCCUCCAUGAAGUCGGAAUCGCUAGUAACCGCAGAUCAGCUACGUUGCGGUGAAUACGUUCCCGGGCCUU